GAGGAUUUGGAUGCAGGCCAUCAAUGUUGGGGAUCAGCAGAGCACCUGCACAAAAGGACACAGAGAAAAGAAGGUGCCUCACCUGACUCAUUCAGCAAAAGAGUAAAACAGUAUUGGUGACAAAAUCGAGAUGCUCAUCAGCAGAAGUGAGAGGGAUUCAAAACUGGCUAUCUAAUAGGAAUUUUGCAAAAAAAGAGUGAUCUGCCUCCUUCACCCACUGUGAUUCCUAUGUUUGUUGAUGUGCAAGCUGUAGCAAAUGACAUUCAAAAACUGAAGACUUGGAAUUUUUUUUUCCCACCUGGAAUGAGAGGAACAAGAAGGGUCUGAUAAAGAAUAUAGGUCAUUUGCAGCAUGGCUUCAUGGAGCUCUUUCUUCAUACAGGAGGAUCUUAUUUUGACUAGCCAGGAAACUGCUGGAACCAGAAGAGUGCCUCUGACAUCCUAACCCAGCCAACUUUCUCACUAACUGUCCCCAAAAAAGGACAGUUUAAGACAGAGCACAAAACUACCAGCUGCCUCAUAAUGUUAGGCAACUUUCUCCUGCAGAAGAUUGUAUUAACAGUACUCAUCAAUCAAUAAUAGACUUAAGCUCUCUCCUCUGGCUUUUUAUGGCAAAGCUGAUUUUUUUUGCGUCUAGUUCAGUAAACAUCGCCCAACCAUCAGAACAUCCAUCAGCGAGACGGAAGGAAAUCCAACCAAAAUAGAGGGACCUUUUCUCACCUCCUCUCCCCACCCCCCAGCACUAUUCUCCAUGCCAGAGGGGACUAGAGUUUGCAAGCGCUAUGUCAGAGGAACAGGAUAACCGUUGUCAUCUCCAGGCUUCCCUAUUGCAAUACACCAUGUCGGGCUACUUUUGGGGGAAAAAGCUACUGAUCAUUCCUGCCUUUUACGUGGGUUAGGCUGAUAAAUGUCCAGCGAGGGUGAGCUGUCACCAGUAGGCAGAGGCUGUCCGUAUACCGAGUUGGCA